UCAAACUAGAGGACUUAGGUCUUUGCCUGCUAUCUUACCCAUGUCUUUUGAGUACCGAAUUCGUUUCCUCGGCGGGCCUGCCUGCCGGAUUGGACAUUAUAAAACCAUUUUGCUAGUUGCAAUCAGCGUCAUGAAAAAACUAUAAUAGUUA
rnacentral:misc_RNA from 1 species